GACGAACGCUGGCGGCGUGCCUAAUACAUGCAAGUCGAACGAGUGGCGGACGGGUGAGUAACACGUGGGAACCUACCCAUCAGAGGGGGAUAACUACUGGAAACGGUGGCUAAUACCGCAUACUAUCGGAUGACCCCAUAUGGGAUUGGCUAGUAGGUGGGGAAAAGUCUCACCUAGGCGACGAUCUCUAGCUGUGCUGAUAGGAUGAUCAGCCACACUUGGACUGAGACACGGCCCAGACUCCUCCGUGAGGCAGAAGUGGGGAAUAUUGAACAAUGGGCGCGAGCCUGAUGCAGCCAUGCCGCUUGUAUGAAGAAGGCCUUAGGGUUGUAAAGUACUUUCAGCGGGGAGGCGUUACCCGCAGAAGAAGCACCGGCUAACUCCGUGCCAGCCGCCGCGGUAAUAC
rnacentral:rRNA from 1 species